GACCGCCUGGGGAGUACGGCCGCAAGGUUAAAACUCAAAUGAAUUGACGGGGGCCCGCACAAGCGGUGGAGCAUGUGGUUUAAUUCGAUGCAACGCGAAGAACCUUACCUGGUCUUGACAUCCACGGAAGUUUUCAGAGAUGAGAAUGUGCCUUCGGGAACCGUGAGACAGGUGCUGCAUGGCUGUCGUCAGCUCGUGUUGUGAAAUGUUGGGUUAAGUCCCGCAACGAGCGCAACCCUUAUCCUUUGUUGCCAGCGAUUAGGCCGGGAACUCAAAGGAGACUGCCAGUGAUAAACUGGAGGAAGGUGGGGAUGACGUCAAGUCAUCAUGGCCCUUACGACCAGGGCUACACACGUGCUACAAUGGCGCAUACAAAGAGAAGCGACCUCGCGAGAGCAAGCGGACCUCAUAAAGUGCGUCGUAGUCCGGAUUGGAGUCUGCAACUCGACUCCAUGAAGUCGGAAUCGCUAGUAAUCGUGGAUCAGAAUGCCACGGUGAAUACGUUCCCGGGCCUUGUACACACCGCCCGUCACACCAUGGGAGUGGGUUGCAAAAGAAGUAGGUAGCUUAACCUUCGGGAGGGCGCUUACCACUUUGUGAUUCAUGACUGGGGUGAAGUCGUAACAAGGUAACCGUAGGGGAACCUGCGGUUG
rnacentral:rRNA from 1 species